rnacentral:rRNA from 1 species
GGGCCCGCACAAGCGGUGGAGUAUGUGGUUUAAUUCGAUGCAACGCGAAGAACCUUACCAGGGUUUGACAUCCUGCGAAUCUCUUGGAAACGAGAGAGUGCCUUCGGGAACGCAGUGACAGGUGGUGCAUGGCUGUCGUCAGCUCGUGUCGUGAGAUGUUGGGUUAAGUCCCGCAACGAGCGCAACCCUUACCUUUAGUUGCCAGCACAUUAUGGUGGGAACUCUAGAGGAACUGCCUUCGUAAGGAGGAGGAAGGUGGGGAUGACGUCAAAUCAUCACGGCCCUUACGUCCUGGGCUACACACGUGCUACAAUGGCCGGUACAGAGAGCAGCCACUUGGUGACAAGGAGCU